GAGCGAGCGGCGGGUGUCCCUGAGAGGCCACCUUUCGACCUUCGAGGGCCAGGAGGAUACGGGGAGGUGGCCGGAGGGAGUUCCCGAACACAGGUCUUCCUGUUCCCGCCGAGCAGGUGUUGGCGGUGCCAGGCCCGGCCUGGCGGGCCCGGGCUGGCAGCCAAAUACCCAGCGUCUGUGCUCGGGACGGGAGUGUUCGUCCAGGACGUGCAGCUCCGGAGCCUGCGCGGGCGACCUUGACCACCUUUGUCGGCUGUUUCCCCCUGAGGGAAGUAUACCUGUCCUGCCAGCCUUGGUCUCUGGCAGGGAAGGUCCUUCCAACAGAGAGGGGUGCGCACGAAUUCCUUUUUGCCGCUCUUCUAUUAAUAGUUUGAGAUUUUCCUCCCCGAUUCCUUGCAGAGAGGGCCUGGUCCUCAAGGACCUCGGGAUCUGGGCGCGACGUCCCUUCCCAGCUUCCUCCCGCGCGCACCGGACCAGAUCUUGCUGUCGUCAGCUGGCUGGUACCCAAAGUUCCUCUUCGUCAGGCUGUUCCUUCCCCGUUAGAGUCCUUCCUCCCCAGGAGCCCUCUCCAUCUGCUGACCUUCAAGACCCAGAGCGAAUGCCACUUCAUCCAUGAAGCCUUCCCUUAACCCUUAUCUGGCCAAAAUGUCUCUUUCCUGUGCUUCUGUACUUUCACAAUUUUAGAAAAUGCCUUUGUGGUUAAAAACCUAUCUCCGGGACCGGACUAUCUAGGUUUAGAUUCUGGCUGCCGCUUACGAAUUUGGGCAGGUUUAGUCAAGUUAUUUUAACCUCUCUGUGGAAGUUCCUGCUCUGUGGAAAUAAUAGUAUUUUCCUCAGAGUUGGUGUGGGGAGUUUGUGAGUUAAUACAUUUACGAAGUGGUUAGUUGCAUGUAAGAAGGACUCUCUAAAUGUCAGCUAUUAUUAACAUUGCAUAUCUGCCACACCCUUCAUAGAUGGUAAACUGCUUUUUUUUUUUUUUUUACUUUUAUUUUAGGUUCGGGAUACAUGCACAGGUUUGUUUUAUAGAUAAAUUGCUUGUCAUGUGGGUUUGUUGUACAAAUUAUUUUGUCACCCAGAUAGUAAGCAUAGUACUUGACAGGUAUUUUUUCUGAUCCUCUCCCUCCUCCCACCCUCUAGCCUCAAGUAGGUCCCAGUGUCUGUUGUUCUCUUCUUUGUGUCCAUGUGUUCUCAAUGUUUAGCUCCCACUUACAAGUCAGAACAUGCAGUAUUUGGUUUUCUCUUCCGCAUUAGUUCACUUAGGAUAAAGGCCUCCAGCUCCAUCCAUGUUGCUACAAAGGACAUGAUCUCUUUCUUUUUUAUGGCUGCAUAGUAGUCCAUGGUGUAUAUGUACCGUAUUUUCUUCAGUCUACUGGUGAUGGGCAUUUAGGUUGAUGCCAUGUCUUUACGAUUGUGAAUAGUGCUGCAGUGAACAUACAUGUACAUAUAUCUUUAUGGUAGAAUGAUUUAUAUUCUUUUGGGUAUAGACCCAAUACUGGGAUUGUUGGGUCGAAUGGUAAUUCUGUUUUAAGUUCUUUGAGAAAUCGCCACACUGCUUUCCGCGGUUACUGAACUAAUUUACAUUCCCACCAGCAUUGUAUAAGCAUUCCCUUUUCUCCACAACCUCACCAGAAACCAGCAUCUGUUAUUUCUUGACUUUUAUUAAUAGCCAUUCUGACUGGUGUGAGAUGAUAUCUCAUUGUAGUUUUGAUUUGGGUUUCUCUAGUGAUUAGUGAUGUUGAGUAUUUUAUAUGCUUGUUGGCCAUGUAGCUUCUUUUGGCUAGGGACCUGUGAGUCUCCCUAGGUUUCUUGCACUUACUAAGCCUUCAACAAAUGGUAGAAGAGUCAAUUCUCUUGGUGUUUCAGAAGAAAACAAUAUCACAGCCCCUCUCCACUGGAUAAUACUAUAAAUCUUAAAAUGAAUUUUCAUUCAGAGUAAUAAACACAAGCCAAAGAACUUUGUAUAACAUCCGUCAACUUUUUGUGUUAUCUAUUUCUUUUCCAAAACAUUGCCUCUGGUUUUAAAGGUAACUGCCCACAGUGUUUCACUAAUAACAUUUUAAGCAUUACAAGUUCAACACUGAAGGUCAAAUGACAACGAACUUUCAGUGCUUCCAAAAGCAGGGGCAGAGGGCAACUGCUGAGGGGGGCAUUGUAUAGCCUAACCUUCCCAGAAUUUGAUUUAAAAGUAUGAUCUUCACAGCGUUGGCCAGCAAUAUCAUGGUCACUCCCUACGUCAUUCCCUGGGAGAAAAACAACCCUAGGUUACCUAAACAAUGUUGGCGAAGACCAAAUAUUUAUUAACAUCCUAAGCCGCCCCAUAAUCAAGCCAAUGCUGAUAGGGACAAAGAAGGUGCCAUGUGCAGUUUUUCUCCAUGUCCCCACAAUAUCUGCUCUGAAUUUUAAAAGGCAAUUACUGGGGGAGAAGGAAGCCUAUAUAUUAUGUAGGAUCCAAGUCUCAAACUGCUUUCCUAGGGAGUGUGAGGUUCUUGGAGAUUAAGUGCAGUACCUUUCUGUCUUGAGCCUUGUAGGCUGCCCCUCUAAUUUAAUGCCAGUCUUGAAAUAAACAGAAUGCUUUCCAAGUCAUCGCUAAUUUUAACACUUUAAAUUUAGAAUUGCUUAGAAUUGACUCAACACUGCCUCCUUGCUGAAUGGAUAAUUCAAGCAAACAACUCAAGAGCUGGAUGCUGCCCAGACAGAAGUCCUCCUAGCAUCUUUCUUCUGCCUUCCCCUGCUCCUGUCCCUGAAACCUUUUCUUCAAAAGAAGUGGAAAAGAGGAACUGGGAACCCAUAUAGCAACAGCAUCACCUGGAAUGAAUUCCUUUAGAACAUACUGUCUUGGAAAUCUGAAGCCUGCAGGGCUGGACAGGCAAGAAGAGCAGUGAGCACUGCAUGAACCUAGUCUUGCUGUGUCGCCCAAGCUGGAGUUCAGUGGCACCAUCCUGGCUCACUGCAACUGCUGCCUCCCAGGUUCAAGUGAUUCUCCUGCCUCAGCCUCCCGAGUAGCUGGGAUUACAUGUGCCUGCCACCACGCCUGGCAAGUUUUUGUAUUUUUAGUAGAAAUGGUGUUUUACCAUGUUGGCCAAGACUGGCCUAGAACUCCAGACCUCAAGUGAUCCACCCGCCUCAGCAGCCCAAAGUGGUGGGAUUACAGGCAUGAGCAACUGUGCCUGGCCUAGCCAUUUUCUAUAAACCUGAAAAUAGAUGCCAGAAAAGAAGGUGCCGCUAUAAAAUGCUUUCUUGAGUGAUUUAUGUCUAACAUACAAUUAAACAUUUAUGAGAAGGAAAUUAUCAGGUUAAAAUAUAAACUCACUUGCCAAUUAUUUGAUUUUCAGGAUAUCUGACUUUUGUUAAUUACUGAAAAUAAAGUAUUAUUUCUAAUCAC
rnacentral:lncRNA from 1 species